CCCCACUAUGCCUAAUAGUAAACCUUUAUUUACACCCAAAUCGCCAGGGAANUACGAGCUAAGCUUAAAACUCAAAGGACUUGACGGUACCCCAUAUCCACCUAGAGGAGCCUGUCCUAUAAUCGAUAAUCCACGUUUAACCUCACCAUUUCUUGUUUUUCAGCCUGUAUACCUCCGUCGCCAGCUUACCACGUGAGCGGGAAUUAGUGAGCUUAAUGUUUUUACACCAACACGUCAGGUCAAGGUGCAGUAAAUGAAAUGGGAAGAGAUGGGCUACACUUUCUAUUAUAGAAGAAACGAAAAACUAUUUAUGAAAAUCUAGUUAGAAGGCGGAUUUAGUAGUAAAAAGAAAUCAGCACAUUCAUUUUAACUCGGCACUGGGGUGUGU
rnacentral:rRNA from 1 species